AUUGAACGCUGGCGGCAGGCCUAACACAUGCAAGUCGAACGAGGGGCGGACGGGUGAGUAAUGUCGGGGACACUGCCUGAUGGAGGGGGAUAACUACUGGAAACGGUCGCUAAUACCGCAUACCAUCAGAUGUGCCCAGAUGGGAUUAGCUAGUAGGUGGGGUAAAGGCUUACCUAGGAGACGAUCCCUAGCUGGUCUGAGAGGAUGAUCAGCCACACUGGAACUGAGACACGGUCCAGACUCCUACGGGAGGCAGCAGUGGGGAAUAUUGCACAAUGGGCGCAAGCCUGAUGCAGCCAUGCCGCGUGUAUGAAGAAGGCCUUAGGGUUGUAAAGUACUUUCAGUGGGGAGGCGUUACCCACAGAAGAAGCACCGGCUAACUCCGUGCCAGCAGCCGCGGUAAUUC
rnacentral:rRNA from 1 species